GGUAGCUCAGUUGGUAGAGUGUUUGCCUCACACGCAUAAGGUCCUUGGUUAAAUUCCAGUACCA
rnacentral:tRNA from 1 species